UACAGAGGUCUCAAGCGUUGUUCGGAUUCAUUGGGCGUAAAGGGUGCGUAGGUGGCGCUGUAAGUCAGAUGUGAAAUCUCGGGGCUUAACUCCGAAACUGCAUUUGAUACUGCGGUGCUUGAGGACUGGAGAGGAGACUGGAAUUCAUGGUGUAGCAGUGAAAUGCGUAGAGAUCAUGAGGAAGACCAGUGGCGAAGGCGGGUCUCUGGACAGUUCCUGACACUGAGGCACGAAGGCCAGGGGAGCAAACGGG
rnacentral:rRNA from 1 species